rnacentral:rRNA from 2 species
UAAUACAUGCAAGUCGAACGAACUCUGGUAUUGAUUGGUGCUUGCAUCAUGAUUUACAUUUGAGUGAGUGGCGAACUGGUGAGUAACACGUGGGAAACCUGCCCAGAAGCGGGGGAUAACACCUGGAAACAGAUGCUAAUACCGCAUAACAACUUGGACCGCAUGGUCCGAGUUUGAAAGAUGGCUUCGGCUAUCACUUUUGGAUGGUCCCGCGGCGUAUUAGCUAGAUGGUGAGGUAACGGCUCACCAUGGCAAUGAUACGUAGCCGACCUGAGAGGGUAAUCGGCCACAUUGGGACUGAGACACGGCCCAAACUCCUACGGGAGGCAGCAGUAGGGAAUCUUCCACAAUGGACGAAAGUCUGAUGGAGCAACGCCGCGUGAGUGAAGAAGGGUUUCGGCUCGUAAAACUCUGUUGUUAAAGAAGAACAUAUCUGAGAGUAACUGUUCAGGUAUUGACGGUAUUUAACCAGAAAGCCACGGCUAACUACGUGCCAGCAGCCGCGGUAAUACGUAGGUGGCAAGCGUUGUCCGGAUUUAUUGGGCGUAAAGCGAGCGCAGGCGGUUUUUUAAGUCUGAUGUGAAAGCCUUCGGCUCAACCGAAGAAGUGCAUCGGAAACUGGGAAACUUGAGUGCAGAAGAGGACAGUGGAACUCCAUGUGUAGCGGUGAAAUGCGUAGAUAUAUGGAAGAACACCAGUGGCGAAGGCGGCUGUCUGGUCUGUAACUGACGCUGAGGCUCGAAAGUAUGGGUAGCAAACAGGAUUAGAUACCCUGGUAGUCCAUACCGUAAACGAUGAAUGCUAAGUGUUGGAGGGUUUCCGCCCUUCAGUGCUGCAGCUAACGCAUUAAGCAUUCCGCCUGGGGAGUACGGCCGCAAGGCUGAAACUCAAAGGAAUUGACGGGGGCCCGCACAAGCGGUGGAGCAUGUGGUUUAAUUCGAAGCUACGCGAAGAACCUUACCAGGUCUUGACAUACUAUGCAAAUCUAAGAGAUUAGACGUUCCCUUCGGGGACAUGGAUACAGGUGGUGCAUGGUUGUCGUCAGCUCGUGUCGUGAGAUGUUGGGUUAAGUCCCGCAACGAGCGCAACCCUUAUUAUCAGUUGCCAGCAUUAAGUUGGGCACUCUGGUGAGACUGCCGGUGACAAACCGGAGGAAGGUGGGGAUGACGUCAAAUCAUCAUGCCCCUUAUGACCUGGGCUACACACGUGCUACAAUGGAUGGUACAACGAGUUGCGAACUCGCGAGAGUAAGCUAAUCUCUUAAAGCCAUUCUCAGUUCGGAUUGUAGGCUGCAACUCGCCUACAUGAAGUCGGAAUCGCUAGUAAUCGCGGAUCAGCAUGCCGCGGUGAAUACGUUCCCGGGCCUUGUACACACCGCCCGUCACACCAUGAGAGUUUGUAACACCCAAAGUCGGUGGGGUAACCUUUUAGGAACCAGCCGCCUAAGGUGGGACAGA